rnacentral:miRNA from 1 species
GAGGCCAGCGUGUGUGUGUGUGUGUGUGUGUGUGUGUGUGUGUGUGUGUCCAACACAGGUCCGGCUGGCUCAGAUGCCCA